rnacentral:rRNA from 1 species
GGGUUGUGAGGUUAAGCGACUAAGCGUACACGGUGGAUGCCCUGGCAGUCAGAGGCGAUGAAGGACGUGCUAAUCUGCGAAAAGCGUCGGUAAGGUGAUAUGAACCGUUAUAACCGGCGAUGUCCGAAUGGGGAAACCCAGUGCAAUUCGUUGCACUAUCGUUAACUGAAUACAUAGGUUAACGAGGCGAACCGGGGGAACUGAAACAUCUAAGUACCCCGAGGAAAAGAAAUCAACCGAGAUUCCCCCAGUAGCGGCGAGCGAACGGGGAGCAGCCCAGAGUCUGAAUCAGCUUGUGUGUUAGUGGAACGGUCUGGAAAGUCCGACGGUACAGGGUGAUAGUCCCGUACACCAAAAUGCACAGGCUGUGAACUCGAAGAGUAGGGCGGGACACGUGGUAUCCUGUCUGAAUAUGGGGGGACCAUCCUCCAAGGCUAAAUACUCCUGACUGACCGAUAGUGAACCAGUACCGUGAGGGAAAGGCGAAAAGAACCCCGGCGAGGGGAGUGAAAAAGAACCUGAAACCGUGUACGUACAAGCAGUGGGAGCACCUUCGGGUGUGACUGCGUACCUUUUGUAUAAUGGGUCAGCGACUUAUAUUCUGUAGCAAGGUUAACCGUAUAGGGGAGCCGCAGGGAAACCGAGUCUUAACUGGGCGUUAAGUUGCAGGGUAUAGACCCGAAACCCGGUGAUCUAGCCAUGGGCAGGUUGAAGGUUGGGUAACACUAACUGGAGGACCGAACCGACUAAUGUUGAAAAAUUAGCGGAUGACUUGUGGCUGGGGGUGAAAGGCCAAUCAAACCGGGAGAUAGCUGGUUCUCCCCGAAAGCUAUUUAGGUAGCGCCUCGUGAACUCAUCUUCGGGGGUAGAGCACUGUUUCGGCUAGGGGGUCAUCCCGACUUACCAACCCGAUGCAAACUACGAAUACCGAAGAAUGUUAUCACGGGAGACACACGGCGGGUGCUAACGUCCGUCGUGAAGAGGGAAACAACCCAGACCGCCAGCUAAGGUCCCAAAGUCACAGUUAAGUGGGAAACGAUGUGGGAAGGCACAGACAGCCAGGAUGUUGGCUUAGAAGCAGCCAUCAUUUAAAGAAAGCGUAAUAGCUCACUGGUCGAGUCGGCCUGCGCGGAAGAUGUAACGGGGCUAAACUGUGCACCGAAGCUGCGGCAGCGACACUAUGUGUUGUUGGGUAGGGGAGCGUUCUGUAAGCCUGCGAAGGUGGCCUGUGAGGGUUGCUGGAGGUAUCAGAAGUGCGAAUGCUGACAUAAGUAACGAUAAUGCGGGUGAAAAGCCCGCACGCCGGAAGACCAAGGGUUCCUGUCCAACGUUAAUCGGGGCAGGGUGAGUCGACCCCUAAGGCGAGGCCGAAAGGCGUAGUCGAUGGGAAACAGGUUAAUAUUCCUGUACUUGGUGUUACUGCGAAGGGGGGACGGAGAAGGCUAUGUUAGCCGGGCGACGGUUGUCCCGGUUUAAGCAUGUAGGCGGAGGUUCCAGGUAAAUCCGGUACCUUAUUAACGCUGAGGUGUGAUGACGAGGCACUACGGUGCUGAAGUAACAAAUGCCCUGCUUCCAGGAAAAGCCUCUAAGCAUCAGGUAACAUUAAAUCGUACCCCAAACCGACACAGGUGGUCAGGUAGAGAAUACCAAGGCGCUUGAGAGAACUCGGGUGAAGGAACUAGGCAAAAUGGUGCCGUAACUUCGGGAGAAGGCACGCUGAUAUGUAGGUGAAGUCCCUGCGGAUGGAGCUGAAAUCAGUCGAAGAUACCAGCUGGCUGCAACUGUUUAUUAAAAACACAGCACUGUGCAAACACGAAAGUGGACGUAUACGGUGUGACGCCUGCCCGGUGCCGGAAGGUUAAUUGAUGGGGUUAUCCGUAAGGAGAAGCUCUUGAUCGAAGCCCCGGUAAACGGCGGCCGUAACUAUAACGGUCCUAAGGUAGCGAAAUUCCUUGUCGGGUAAGUUCCGACCUGCACGAAUGGCGUAAUGAUGGCCAGGCUGUCUCCACCCGAGACUCAGUGAAAUUGAACUCGCUGUGAAGAUGCAGUGUACCCGCGGCAAGACGGAAAGACCCCGUGAACCUUUACUAUAGCUUGACACUGAACAUUGAGCCUUGAUGUGUAGGAUAGGUGGGAGGCUUUGAAGCGUGGACGCCAGUCUGCGUGGAGCCAACCUUGAAAUACCACCCUUUAAUGUUUGAUGUUCUAACGUUGGCCCCUAAUCGGGGUUGCGGACAGUGUCUGGUGGGUAGUUUGACUGGGGCGGUCUCCUCCCAAAGAGUAACGGAGGAGCACGAAGGUUAGCUAAUCCUGGUCGGACAUCAGGAGGUUAGUGCAAUGGCAUAAGCUAGCUUGACUGCGAGCGUGACGGCGCGAGCAGGUGCGAAAGCAGGUCAUAGUGAUCCGGUGGUUCUGAAUGGAAGGGCCAUCGCUCAACGGAUAAAAGGUACUCCGGGGAUAACAGGCUGAUACCGCCCAAGAGUUCAUAUCGACGGCGGUGUUUGGCACCUCGAUGUCGGCUCAUCACAUCCUGGGGCUGAAGUAGGUCCCAAGGGUAUGGCUGUUCGCCAUUUAAAGUGGUACGCGAGCUGGGUUUAGAACGUCGUGAGACAGUUCGGUCCCUAUCUGCCGUGGGCGCUGGAGAAUUGAGGGGGGCUGCUCCUAGUACGAGAGGACCGGAGUGGACGCAUCACUGGUGUUCGGGUUGUCAUGCCAAUGGCAUUGCCCGGUAGCUAAAUGCGGAAGAGAUAAGUGCUGAAAGCAUCUAAGCACGAAACUUGCCCCGAGAUGAGUUCUCCCUGAGACUUUAAGUCUCCUGAAGGAACGUUAAAGACGAUGACGUUGAUAGGUCGGGUGUGUAAGCGUAGCGAUACGUUGAGCUAACCGAUACUAAUGAACCGUGAGGCUUAACCUUACAACGCCGAAG